UAUUAAUAAGCGGANGAAAAGAAACCAACAGGGAUUCCCACAGUAAGGGCGACUGAAAUGGGAAGAGCUCAGCGCAUAACCUGGCGUCGUAACCCNGGCGCCAGGGGUGUUGCGUUUCGGAGGGUCCGGCACGCAGUCUCUCACCGCCUAAGUUAUGCUUGAAAGCGGCCACUACCCAGGGAGGGUGACAGGCCCGUGUGGCGGCGCCCGUGAGGGCACACGAGGGACUGUCGGAAAGGACCUCUCCGUAGAGUCGGGUUGCUUGAAAGUGCAGCCCUAAGCAGGUGGUAAACUCCAUCUAAAGCUAAAUAUGACCACGAGACCGAUAGCAAACAAGUACCGUGAGGGAAAGUUGAAA
rnacentral:rRNA from 1 species